AACAGGAUUAGAUACCCUGGUAGUCCACGCUGUAAACGAUGUCGACUUGGAGGUUGUUCCCUUGAGGAGUGGCUUCCGGAGCUAACGCGUUAAGUCGACCGCCUGGGGAGUACGGCCGCAAGGUUAAAACUCAAAUGAAUUGACGGGGGCCCGCACAAGCGGUGGAGCAUGUGGUUUAAUUCGAUGCAACGCGAAGAACCUUACCUACUCUUGACAUCCAGAGAACUUAGCAGAGAUGCUUUGGUGCCUUCGGGAACUCUGAGACAGGUGCUGCAUGGCUGUCGUCAGCUCGUGUUGUGAAAUGUUGGGUUAAGUCCCGCAACGAGCGCAACCCUUAUCCUUUGUUGCCAGCGGUUAGGCCGGGAACUCAAAGGAGACUGCCAGUGAUAAACUGGAGGAAGGUGGGGAUGACGUCAAGUCAUCAUGGCCCUUACGAGUAGGGCUACACACGUGCUACAAUGGCAUAUACAAAGAGAAGCGACCUCGCGAGAGCAAGCGGACCUCAUAAAGUAUGUCGUAGUCCGGAUCGGGGUCUGCAACUCGACUCCGUGAAGUCGGAAUCGCUAGUAAUCGCAAAUCAGAAUGUUGCGGUGAAUACGUUCCCGGGCCUUGUACACACCGCCCGUCACACCAUGGGAGUGGGUUGCACCAGAAGUAGAUAGCUUAACCUUCGGGAGGGCGUUUACCACGGUGUGAUUCAUGACUGGGGUGAAGUCGUAACAAGGUAACC
rnacentral:rRNA from 1 species